CGCCAGAUAGCUCAGUUGGUAGAGCACCUGACUAGAGAUUCAGAGGGCCCGGGUUCGAAACCCGGUCUGGUCC
rfam:Crassostrea gigas strain 05x7-T-G4-1.051#20 contig9151, whole genome shotgun sequence.